ensembl:lncRNA
GUUCUGGUCCAAGUGCUCAAGUCUGAGUCACCAAUGGUCGAGUCACGAGUCCUGGUCCAAGUGCUCAAGUCUGAGUCUCCAAUGGCCGAGUCAUGAGUCCUGGUCCAAGUGCUCAAGUCUGAGUCACCAAUGGUUGAGUCACGAGUCCUGGUCCAAGUGCUCAAGUCUGAGUCACCAAUGGUCAAGUGCUCAAGUCUGAGUCACCAAUUACGAUCACGAGUCCUGGUCCAAGUGCUCAAGUCUGAGUCACCAAUGGCCGAGUCAUGAGUCCUGGUCCAAGUGCUCAAGUCUGAGUCACCAAUGGUCGAGUUACGAGUCCUGGUCCAAGUGCUCAAGUCUGAGUCACCAAUGGUCGAGUCACAAGUCCUGGUCCAUGGGCUCAAGUCUGAGUCACGAGUCCUGGUCCAAGUGCUCAAGUCUGAGUCACUGGCUCCACUCAAAAUAAAGCCAUUUACCCAGUCAGAGGUAGUGUAGUGUCAAGAUGAAUUUAUUCAAUAAAUUGUUUGCUAUUCCUUUUCCUUUCUAUCUAUGCCACCAAAUGUUUGCAUAGGCUACUGGUAAUGUUACCAGGGCCACGUUCAGUUGCAAAACGUUGUUGAACGUUGCAGAUAGAAAUUCCAUGAAUAGAGCCAACGUUAUUCCUUAUUCAACAUGUCAGAUAGAAAUGUGCUAUGUAGAACAAACGUGCCGAUCAGAGCAUUCCGUCCUGCUGAACACGGCCCAGGUUGUUAGCUAUAACUAGCUAAUGAGGUAACAUGACUGAACAAAGUGUAGUCUAAAUAGAUGGUUACUUGUCCGGUCCUAGUUUUAGAACAGAUAUGCUUUAUGAAUGUUAAAUGCGCCCCGCCAAUGUAUGAUAGAAAGAAAAAACGUAGCGUCGGUAUUAUGGUUCAGACCUUUAGAGCGGUAAUCUCAAGACGUUUUCUUAAACCGUGUCUUUUUCCUGCAGUCUGAACAGGCAAAAACCACAAUGGAAUCUGAUCAUUCAAGCCACAUUUCAAACCACCUUCGUAGAUGGCUUGAAGUCAGAUACAAAUCUGAUUCCUGGUCAAGUGACUUGUGUCUGAAUGGGAAAAUCUGAUUUAUUUGCCCUCAAGUGGUUUUGAAAGUUGGAUAAUAUUUUCCUUUGAGGCUAUAAAGUGUUCCUACACUAUGAUUUUGAACAUUCAAAGCAACUGGGAAACAUUCUACAUAACUUCGGAGUGAUGAGGAAUCAUGAACACCACCACAGAUCAGUUCUAAAAACUAUUGUUCUGUCCACUUAGUAGUCAGACUUGAGAUCAUUUAGUCUUGUUUUAGGCAACUGAAAUAUAUUUUUUUGUUUAGUUAGAGUUUUUUUCUGGUCUAUUUAGUCAGUUAUAGUAUAAUCAACUGCCACUAAAAAGUAGGUGUUUGACAAAUAUUUGAGUCCUUAUGUUUGUUGACUAAAGUAACUGUGAUGAACCCUCGGUGAAAGCACAGUGCACUCUGGAUACCCCUUUCCACAUUUCUCACUUUUCUUCAUAACACCAUAAUAACAAUUUUCUGUGUAAAUACAGUCAGUAUCUAACUGAAAAUGGCAUACAGGUAACUGCCAAAAUAAAGGAAACUCUUGUGUAAAUGAGGGAUACAAAGUAUAUUGAAAGUAGGUGCUUCCACACAGGUGUGGGUCUUGAGUUAAUUAAGCAAUUAACAUUCCAUCAUGCUUAGUCAUGUAUAAAAAUGCUGGGCAGUCCAUUAUUUUGGGUACCAUGGCUAUGCUCCCCCCAUAGGAUUACAAGGCCCUGGCCACAGGGCACAAGUGAUCACUGAAUGGUUUGAUGAGCAUGAUCAGAUCUCAACCCAAGUUAACACUUAUUGUAGAUUGUGGAGCGGUGCCUGAGACAGCGUUUUCCACGACCAACAAAACAACAGCGUUUUCCCUCCAAUAGAGUUCCAGACACUUGUAGAAUCUAUGCCAAUGUGCAUUGAAGCUGUUCUGGCUCGUGGAGGCACAACGCCCUAUUAAGACUUUGUUGGUGUUUCCUUAAUUUUGGCAGUUACUUCUACAUUGAGUGACAUUCUAGUCCUUUACUCAGACCAAAAUAUAUAUUUCAAAUGUAGCCACUGCGACUAGACCAAAGCAACGUAACACGUGUGUUUGUAUUUGUCUUGUUUCUUUUCUUCCUUAGUGUGCAUAAGUAUACAAUUAUAUUUCAGUGUGUUUAGGUGUUCUGUUCCUUUAUUAAUCCAUGGUGUUUGUAGUCAUUCAUGUAUAUUUUC